rnacentral:misc_RNA from 1 species
AUGAGACGUUUAUCCGAGAUGAUAUCUGAUUGGGAACGACCGUCAAGAAGUUCGAUCAGUAACAUGUAUCUUUAUGCGAGAAGAGAAAGCGUCUACAUUGCAAGGAAGAAGUUGGCCGGUCUGAAAGACUGGGCGCUGGACCUGUUAGCAAAACUGAAAUCCAAGCAGGGAAUGGCGAUUCGUCGAGAGACUCGUGCAACCAAGUUGGUUGCAACUGUAAUGGUGGUUUUUCUCGUCUGCUGGCUUCCGUUUUUCACAUUGAACAUGAUCAAAAUUUACAAAUUGAUAUUCAACGUUUGGUCAGCGGACCUCGAAAUUUGGUUCCAUUGGUUUACCGCACUGGGGUAUUUGAAUUCGUCACUCAACUUUUUCAUUUACUCAACAAUCAAUCCAAAAUUCCGUCAUUCAUUCCGCCGCUUACUUGGCUUCCGUCGAUCUUCUCGACGUCAGAGAGAAAAAUCGUGGAUGUUACCGCCACGAGAUAGCAGCAGAGGUCCUGCAAAAUGUGGAUGCGGUUUCCAUAAAAUCGUGAAAAGCCCUCUGCGCAAAACGAGCUCAGCUGGACCAAUGAACAACAGAAAAAUUUCCAUGCAAAAACCAGAAAUCGUCAUUGACGAAAUUUCACCGAAUCGAAUUUCAAUCUCCGCCGGAGGAAACACAACUUUUAGAUUUAGCACAUCCAGACCCCACCCGGUUUAGGCGAUCUUCGGAUGAUUGUAUUCGUAGAUCAUCUUCUGAAAUAAUCGGCGGUAUCACUCUUCCAUCUCAAAGUAGUAAUGAUAAACGAAGAGGAUCCGGUAUGUCAAAUAGUUCAGCAUCUCUCCAUAUCCAUGAAACGCGAAUGACGUUCGAAGCAAUGGUCAACGAUCAGGCUGAUUGCGAAAUUUUUGUUUAAUU